GAAAAUACAACUUGAAUGAUACCACAGAGACGGCCACAAUGGAUCCCAACAGCAUGCAACAGCCAAAUCGGACCUAAGCAAUUUGAUGGCUCAGAAAGCCUCAAAGAUAAUGCACAAGGUCGUCUUUAAUGCUAGCAGUUUCCUCUCGCCUCCUGGAUAAACAGCCUGAAUGAUUCUGCAGGUACAACAGCAAAACAAAGACAGUUCAGAACCUUUGACUUCAGUCCUCAGGGUGCAAUAUUUAUAUCCCACCUAAACAAAACCAAACCCCAAGGUUUUACUGGCAGUAGAUGGUGAGAAAUCAAAGCCACGCAUCCAAACCUCUGCUUGAGUCUGAUCUUCAGUCCCGCGGCAACUGAAUGGGGAGUCCUGCUUGCUCCAAGAUAAUCCUUCCCUUUUUCUCCUACGGAGUCCUUCUUCCUGUGGCGUCUGAUUUGUCUGCUAUCUCUGGCCCUGCUGUAGCUGCUUCGUCUGAGAACCUACCAUGAAAGCUACACCAAAGAGUUGCUUUGUCACAGUAGCCUUGUCAUAAGAGACUGAAAUCUCCAUUAAAAUGCACCAGCUGUCUCAUGGAUACAGCACCAAGGAAAUUACAUAUAAGCAGCCUUAACAGCACUAGGGAAUCCCCAAAGCCGCUAUCUCCCAGUUUGCCCAUGAUGCAGUACACUCUUCUUCAUCUAUUCAUUCCUCCCACAUCUCCCCCUCUGCCCACUGUUAUUUUAACUAAGGUCAGGCAAAUGUUAUAUCUUUUUAAAUUAGACGGGGAAAACCAAAGCCAAGCUCAAACAACCCAAGCUAUACUCGCUGGCUCACUGUCCGCUGUGUGAAUGCAUCUGACAUAUGGGAUAUAUGCAUCUUCAUCAGUCACUAACACCUAUUUAGAAUUCAAAACUGCCCUCCAACCUGCACACGUGCAUUUGUUAUUGCUGCCACUUUUUCCUAUGGAAAGUACUGAACUGUGAAAUUAAGUUUAUGGAAGAUCCUGCUUUAAAUAAAUCCACUUCCCACCUCA